rnacentral:rRNA from 1 species
UGAGUAACCUGCCCUUAACUCUGGGAUAAGCCUGGGAAACUGGGUCUAAUACCGGAUAUGACUCCUCAUCGCAUGGUGGGGGGUGGAAAGCUUUUUUGUGGUUUUGGAUGGACUCGCGGCCUAUCAGCUUGUUGGUGAGGUAAUGGCUCACCAAGGCGACGACGGGUAGCUGGUCUGAGAGGAUGGCCAGCCACAGUUGGGACUGAGACACGGCCCAGACCUCCGUACGGGAGNAG